AGUGAACGCUGGCGGUAGGCCUAACACAUGCAAGUCGAACGGCAGCACAGUAAGAGCUUGCUCUUACGGGUGGCGAGUGGCGGACGGGUGAGGAAUACAUCGGAAUCUACUUUUUCGUGGGGGAUAACGUAGGGAAACUUACGCUAAUACCGCAUACGACCUACGGGUGAAAGCAGGGGAUCUUCGGACCUUGCGCGAUUGAAUGAGCCGAUGUCGGAUUAGCUAGUUGGCGGGGUAAAGGCCCACCCAGGCGACGAUCCGUAGCUGGUCUGAGAGGAUGAUCAGCCACCCUUGAACCGGGACCACGUCCCGGCUCCUAAGGGAGGGAGCAGUGGGGAAUAUUGGACAAUGGGCGCAAGCCUGAUCCAGCCAUACCGCGUGGGUGAAGAAGGCCUUCGGGUUGUAAAGCCCUUUUGUUGGGAAAGAAAAGCAGCAGGUUAAUACCCCGCUGUUCUGACGGUACCCAAAGAAUAAGCACCGGCUAACUUCGUG
rnacentral:rRNA from 1 species